AGGCCACAUCGGGAGCACCGGACGCAGUAAAUCACCCCAGCCGACUCACAGGUGAAGUGUCGCCUCACCUGGAAGGACUGUCUGGGGCCCUGAAUGGUGAUAACUUAUGGAACACAGAAAACUUGCCAUGUUGCAACAGAAGUUGAAAUGCUGAGAAUAGAGGAGAACAGAUGCGAAGUUACUCCGUAUGUACAAAAAUAGUUGGAUUAAGUCGCUAAAAAGCCAUUGCAAGAACCAAAUGUUUCAGAAGAAAAUAAAAGGGUCAACCUAAUUGAUGAAGGUUUGAAGAUACACAAUCAUCAGACAAUAGCUUUACAUUUUU